rnacentral:sRNA from 1 species
CUAACCAGGAUUCUCCUAGUAACGGCGAGUGAACGGAGAUUAGCCCAUCACCGAAGCCUGCGUGUGUUUGCAUGCUAGGCAAUGUGGUGUUAAGGUGUGUACCUGGGAUCGUGUACCUACCCGAAGUCUAAAUCCGAUUGUGGCUUUGGAUUCAUUCCAUAGCGGGUGAAAGUCCCGUGCGGGUAGGACUAUUGCAAAUCGCACGGUCCUCAGAUGUGCAUGCUUUCGAGUCGGAUUGCUUGAGAAUGCAGUCCAAAGUGGGUGGUAAACUCCAUCCAAGGCUAAAUACUGGCACGAGUCCGAUAGUAGACAAGUACCGUGAGGGAAAGUUGAAAAGUACUCUGAAGAGAGAGUAAAUAGUACGUGAAGCCGAUUGCAGGGAAGCUGGUGGAGUCAAGCUUCGUGCUUGGUGGAUUGAUGCUGGGAGCAGGUGUGUGAUUUGGAUGUGAGGAUGGACAACUUGGAAUAAGUUGGGUGUGUUCUGAAUGCACUUCAAGUCAUUCCGGGUAGAGUGUUAUGAGCUGUCCUCGCUUUCCUACUCUCAGUGUUGUAUUCUCCGCUGCACAGGCCACAGUCAGUAGGUGCAUGCGGUAUGAGGGCCUAACUGUGCUUCGGCGGGUGCAAGCUCGCCGGGUGCAGGAUGGCAGGUGCUGUCUUCGGGCCUUGUGUCUGUUGAUAGUUGUUGUGGUUUUGACCGGCUGGUCCUCAUACUGUAUUGUGCUUAUUGCCUAUGAGUGGCGUAGCUUCCUCGGAAGUUGCGCUCUGUAGAACUGUGGCUCUGAGGUAGAC